UGGCUGCCAGGAGGGAGGCCAGUCGCGGGACUGGGGAACUGGCAGGCUGCUGGCCGGCGCGUGGAACCACCCCCGCCACCCCCGCACCCCCAAUGUUGAACCAGAGUUCUUAACUUCCAUGUGCACGAACCCCAGGGAGUGCAGGAACACCCCCAAACUGUGCACAAAUUGAGCAUGUUUGUGCAUUCUUCAGGGGAGAGGGGCCGUGGGCUUUCCUCCGGUUUUCAGAAGUCCACGGCCCCCUAAGGUUGAGAACUCCCUCUUCAAUCAUAACUGAUGUUUUUUUAGUUGCAUACUUGGUACCAUGCAGACCCUGUCUUUAUUUACAUUUUAGAUAUUUUGUUCAUUGUGGGGUUUUGCAUUAAUUUUGAUACUUUUAAAAAUAUUUUAAAAGUAAAAAAUUAAAAUAUUAUUUUGAUUACUUAGGGGUUUGGGGCACUGCUUUGGGCAAUUUACCUCCGUUGCUGAGUUUUCUUGGCAUCUCCUGGUAUGCUGCAUCUCUGCAUGUGCCACACCCUAGUCCAGACCCUGACCCACACAGUGCUGGGGUUUAAGGGAGGCCUGCUUUUUUCUCUCCAUUUACAGAUGGGAAAGCUGACAUAAACGGGUAGGUGGUAGAGGUGGGAUUUGAACCCAGGUAACCUAACUCCAAACUUCUGCAUCUUGUCAUAAGGAUCCAAAUCUUAGGCUUUAAGGGGUUCUGUGCAGAUCCUCAGCAGCCUCCCCAGCUUCAGAUCCGGCCUCCUGAGCUCCAGUCUCUCUGAUACCUGCACCCAGGCUCAGGUGCAGGCCAGAGCUCACCUGACUCUGGUGAGCUGCUCUGCCCUACACCGGGAUUGCAGCACACAUCACAUGGCGCUGUCAUUGUCAGAUCCAUCUCUGUGUCCCCACACCCAGCCUGACACAUGGAGCCUGGGAUACAAUAGAUGCUCAAACCGUUGGAGACACGCACAGCAACUUGGGGUAGGGAAGAGAGUCUGGAUGGGAGACAUCAGACAUCACUAUGUCAUGGAGAACCCCCUGCAACUGCAUAAAGGGACUAACAAUUUGUACCUGGCCUUCGUGAGACCCCUGGAGGGAACUGCCACUGGCGCUGGUUUCGUAGCAAGAAUAUACCUCAAAUGACCAAACAGGAAUGAAAAACUUCAGAUGGUUUAGGUGCCAGUGGCUUCCGAAUAAAACAGCAUUCUUGAAGUGAACAGCUGAUGAGGACAUGAAAUAUUAUGCCAAAGCUGGCAUCACACUGUUCUUUUUCCUGGAUGAAAAUCUCUCUGAGAAGCAUUUGCUCUUAACUUUGGUGUCCUGGGGACUGCUGCCUUAUCCCAGGAAGCCACCCAGAGUCUUGGAUGUGUGGGAUCCUUAGGACUUCAUGGUAAACCUGCUCUAGUCCCUCGGGUUAGUAAAAUGAAGCCCAGGACAUCUGAGAGCCCCCAGCACUUCCAUAGAAAUGGACCAAAAUCCCUUCUCCCAGGGGGAGAAACCUGGAAUAAGCUCAAGAGGACAGACGGCUAAAUUUUCAAGAAUCGUGUGAGCUGCUGUUAAACAAGCCAUUAUUAAAACUUUAAUUGUGUAAACUUACAAUUAGGUCAGUUAUAUUAAAAGUAAAAGUGAUACAUACCC
rnacentral:lncRNA from 10 species